rnacentral:rRNA from 1 species
UGGGAACCUGGCCACCUGGGUUGCGAUACUCGCAGCGUCCGUGAGUGCUUGCAUGAAUGUAGCAAUACAUUUGAUGGCGACCGGCAAACGGGUGCGGAACACGUACACAACCUUCCUAUAAGUGGGGAAUAGCCCAGAGAAAUUUGGAUUAAUACCCCGUAACAUAACGAUGUGGCAUCACAUUGUUAUUAUAGCUUCGGCGCUUAUUGAUGGGUGUGCGGCUGAUUAGAUAGUUGGCGGGGUAACGGCCCACCAAGUCUACGAUCAGUAGCUGAUGUGAGAGCAUGAUCAGCCACACGGGCACUGAGACACGGGCCUGACUCCUACGGGAGGCAGCAGUAAGGAAUAUUGGUCAAUGGACGCAAGUCUGAACCAGCCAUGCCGCGUGAAGGAUUAAGGUCCUCUGGAUUGUAAACUUCUUUUAUCUGGGACGAAAAAAGGCGAUUCUUCGUCACUUGACGGUACCAGAUGAAUAAGCACCGGCUAACUCCGUGCCAGCAGCCGCGGUAAUACGGAGGGUGCAAGCGUUAUCCGGAUUCACUGGGUUUAAAGGGUGCGUAGGCGGGCAGGUAAGUCAGUGGUGAAAUCCUGGAGCUUAACUCCAGAACUGCCAUUGAUACUAUCUGUCUUGAAUAUUGUGGAGGUAAGCGGAAUAUGUCAUGUAGCGGUGAAAUGCUUAGAUAUGACAUAGAACACCUAUUGCGAAGGCAGCUUACUACGCAUAUAUUGACGCUGAGGCACGAAAGCGUGGGGAUCAAACAGGAUUAGAUACCCUGGUAGUCCACGCCCUAAACGAUGGAUACUCG